GAUGAAGAACGCAGCGAAAUGCGAUAAGUAAUGUGAAUUGCAGAAUUCAGUGAAUCAUCGAAUCUUUGAACGCACAUUGCGCCCCCUGGUAUUCCGGGGGGCAUGCCUGUUCGAGCGUCAUUUCACCACUCAAGCCUCGCUUGGUAUUGGGCAACGCGGUCCGCCGCGUGCCUCAAAUCGACCGGCUGGGUCUUCUGUCCCCUAAGCGUUGUGGAAACUAUUCGCUAAAGGGUGUUCGGGAGGCUACGCCGUAAAACAACCCCGUUUCUAAGGUUGACCUCGGAUCAGGUAGGGAUACCCGCUGAACUUAAGCAUAUCAAUAAGCGGAGGA
rnacentral:misc_RNA from 1 species